rnacentral:sRNA from 1 species
UGGGGAAACAAGUUGGGCUAUAACAUGAGAGAAGAUGGAAAAUUAUAUAAAUAAAAUUUGAAAAGCAUGAUCUGAGGGUCCCAGGAUACAUAUCGUAAGCCUCUUUAAGGACAAUGCCUCUUGCUAUGUACUGAUACUGUACAAUAGCCUACUUCUUAGAGGUUCCACACUGCCUUAGGGCAUUGCCAUACAGGGAAUUGAAGCCCCAGUCAUGGCACCUCAGCUACUCACUGAUAACCCAUGGACAUUUAUUUCAUCUUUUGUUAGCUAGUUUUUUACCAAUAGAGCAUAAUAUUUAUCAGAUAUCAAUUCCUAGUUCUGCCUGUAAGCACAAAAAUGGUGUAAAUAGGUAGUUCUCUAAUUUACUAAAAGGCUUGAUUGAUAGAAAUUUUUCUCAUGAAAUACCUGAAAGCCUUGGAUGCCCAGAGUCGUUGUAUGAGAACAAAGUAGGAUGCUGUGUCUGACUUAGGGCAGAAUUGUUUCGAUGAGAAUUUCGCACUUGCUUUGGUUUGGUUAUCCUGUGUUCUCUGUAAGUGAGAAUUGAAGGUCAAGAUUGCAUGCUUAUGUUUAUUGAAUAUGGAAUGUGGAAAGGAGAGAAGGAAAGCGAGGCUGGGAAGAGGCCAGGGGGUGUUCUGUGGUGCUGCCUGACCACAUGAUCAGGUCCAGUGAGCCCAGAAGAGGCUCGGUUGCUACUUGGUGACUGUAUCUGAGACCUGCAGAAGUAUUGAGAUGAGCUAUUUAUAGAUGUCACAAUUUAGAGCACUCCAUCAGAAGGAAUGGAAUCAAGGACCUGAUUCUUUUCUGUUGAGCAAAAGCCUCACGUGAGGGUGAAGCAAGUCCGUUUCAGAAAACGGAACUCUAGGGAUAAGGAACCAAGCACACCUUCACAGAAUGGGCAACCAUAACAUUAAGGAUAAGGAAGAAGCCUGUGUUUCAGGAAGCAGGUAAGAUUAGGGGUGCUAGCAGCUCAUGUUGUAUCCGAUGCUGUACUAUUAUUUUGUGACACAAAGUUGUAAAUAUCUCCAAAUUCUAAGCACAGUACUCUACCAAACAGCAGGUGUAAAUGUAUUAACUGGCAUUGUUCUUUCUCUUCAAAAACCACUAGGAAAGUGCUUCUCAAACUUGAGCAUGCAGGAAACCUCUUGGUGUAAGGUCUUUGAUAUUCUAGUUUGAUUCAAGAACAUAUGAGAUACAACGUUACCAGCCAUCUUAUGCUCGCUACAGCAUCGCUGCCAGGAUGGACAAUUCCUAUAAAGGACUAACCAAAGCAAACGUUCCUUCCAUUGAAUUGCUACUAGUCAGCUUAGUAAACAUCAACUCUUAGAGGCAGUGAAAGAAGUUUUCCUUGAAAAGACACUUCAAAUUCAGGUCUCUCAAAUUAAAAAGUGAACACCAAGUUCAAAUUUGACAUCAAAAAAAUUCCGUCUUAGUUAUGGCUUUACUGCUGUGAACAGACCCCAUGACCAAGGCAACUCUUAUAAGGACA